rnacentral:rRNA from 1 species
UACAGAGGUCUCAAGCGUUGUUCGGAUUUAUUGGGCGUAAAGAGCGUGUAGGCGGCCAGGUAGGUCUGGUGUGAAAACUCGAGGCUUAACCUCGAGAUGUCAUCGGAAACCAUCUGGCUAGAGUCCGGAAGAGGAGAGUGGAAUUCCUGGUGUAGCGGUGAAAUGCGCAGAUAUCAGGAAGAACACCAAUGGCGAAGGCAGCUCGCUGGGACGUUACUGACACUGAGGCGCGAAAGCGUGGGGAGCGAACAGG